UGGGGAAUAUUGGACAAUGGGCGCCAGCCUGAUCCAGCCAUGCCGCGUGAGUGAUGAAGGCCCUAGGGUUGUAAAGCUCUUUCACCGGUGAAGAUAAUGACGGUAACCGGAGAAGAAGCCCCGGCUAACUUCGUGCCAGCAGCCGCGGUAAUACGAAGGGGGCUAGCGUUGUUCGGAUUUACUGGGCGUAAAGCGCACGUAGGCGGACUUUUAAGUCAGGGGUGAAAUCCCGGGGCUCAACCCCGGAACUGCCUUUGAUACUGGAAGUCUUGAGUAUGGUAGAGGUGGGUGGAAUUCCGAGUGUAGAGGUGAAAUUCGUAGAUAUUCGGAGGAACACCAGUGGCGAAGGCGGCUCACUGGACCAUUACUGACGCUGAGGUGCGAAAGCGUGGGGAGCAAACAG
rnacentral:rRNA from 1 species